rnacentral:rRNA from 1 species
UGGGGAAUAUUGGACAAUGGAGGGAACUCUGAUCCAGCAAUUCUGUGUGUGUGAAGAAGGUUUUAGGACUGUAAAACACUUUUAGUAGGGAAUAAAAAAAUGACGGUACCUACAGAAGAAGCAACGGCUAAAUACGUGCCAGCAGCCGCGGUAAUACGUAUGUUGCGAGCGUUAUCCGGAAUUAUUGGGCUUAAAGGGCAUCUAGGCGGUAAGACAAGUUGAAGGUGAAAACCUGUGGCUCAACCAUAGGCUUGCCUACAAAACUGUUGAACUAGAGUACUGGAAAGGUGGGUGGAACUACACGAGUAGAGGUGAAAUUCGUAGAUAUGUGUAGGAAUGCCGAUGAUGAAGAUAACUCACUGGACAGAAACUGACGCUGAAGUGCGAAAGCUAGGGGAGCAAACAGG